rnacentral:rRNA from 1 species
UCCGUAGGGUGAACCUGCGGAAGGAUCAUUAGUGAACAUAGGACGUCCAACUUAACUUGGAGUCCGAACUCUCACUUUCUAACCCUGUGCAUUUGUUUGGGGUAGUAGCCUUUCGGGGCGAAUCCCUAUUCACUUAUAAACACAAAGUCUAUGAAUGUAUUUAAUUUUAUAACAAAAUAAAACUUUCAACAACGGAUCUCUUGGCUCUCGCAUCGAUGAAGAACGCAGCGAAAUGCGAUAAGUAAUGUGAAUUGCAGAAUUCAGUGAAUCAUCGAAUCUUUGAACGCACCUUGCGCUCCAUGGUAUUCCGUGGAGCAUGCCUGUUUGAGUGUCAUGAAUACUUCAACCCUCCUCUUUCUUUAUGAUCGAAGAGGUGUUUGGAUUCUGAGCGUUUUGCUGGCCUCACGGUCGAGCUCGCUCGUAAUGCAUUAGCAUCCGCAAUCGAACUUCGGAUUGACUUGGCGUAAUAGACUAUUCGCUGAGGAAUUCUAGUCUUCGGACUAGAGCCGGGUUGGAUUAAAGGAAGCUACUAAUCCUAAUGUCUACAUUUUAAGAUUAGAUCUCAAAUCAGGUAGGACUACCCGCUGAACUUAAGCAUAUCAAUAAGCGGAGGA